CAAAGAGGAGCUCAAGAAGAUCUCAGACAGAGUCACACUCACCAACAUUGUUCUCUGGACCAGGAAGGACUUCCUACAAUAUUCCCGUCAGCUCACUCUGGAUCUGAACACAGUGAAUAAACUCCUCCGUCUGUCUGAGAACAACAGAGUGAUUACUGACACUGUCACAGUUCAGCCAUAUCCUGAUCAUCCAGACAGAUUUGAUUAUUAUCUUCAGGUGUUGUGUAGAGAGAGUGUGUGUGGACGCUGUUACUGGGAGCUGGAGUGGAGUGCUGGUGAAUCUGGUUUUGUGUAUAUAUCAGUGUCAUAUAAGAGCAUCAGCAGGAAGGGACAGGGUGAUGAGUGUGUGCUUGGAUUUAAUGAUCAGUCCUGGAGUUUGAUCUGCUCUUCCUCCAGAUACUCAUUCAGACACAAUAACAAACAGACUGCUCUCUCUGUGAAGUCCGUCAGCAGUAGAAUAGGAGUGUUUGUGGAUC